UACGUAGGGUGCGAGCGUUAAUCGGAAUUACUGGGCGUAAAGCGUGCGUAGGCGGUUCGCUGUGUCCGAUGUGAAAGCCCCGGGCUUAACCUGGGAAUGGCAUUGGAAACUGGCGGGCUUGAGUGUGGCAGAGGGGGGUGGAAUUCCGCGUGUAGCAGUGUAAUGCGUAGAGAUGCGGAGGAACACCGAUGGCGAAGGCAGCCCCCUGGGUUAACACUGACGCUCAGGCACGAAAGCGUGGGGAGCAAACAGG
rnacentral:rRNA from 1 species